UACGGGGGGGGCAAGCGUUGUUCGGAAUUACUGGGCGUAAAGGGCUCGUAGGCGGCCAACUAAGUCAUACGUGAAAUCCCUCGGCUUAACCGGGGAACUUCGUCUGAUACUGGAUGGCUUGAGUUCGGGAGAGGGAUGCGGAAUUCCAGGUGUAGCGGUGAAAUGCGUAGAUAUCUGGAGGAACACCGGUGGCGAAGGCGGCAUCCUGGACCGAUACUGACGCUGAGGAGCGAAAGCCAGGGGAGCAAACGGG
rnacentral:rRNA from 1 species